ACCCGCGUGAGGGAUGAAGGCCUUCGGGUUGUAAACCUCUUUCAGUAGGGAAGAAGCGAAAGUGACGGUACCUAAAGAAGAAGCACCGGCUAACUAUGUGCCAGCAGCCGCGGUAAUACAUAGGGUGCAAGCGUUGUCCGGAAUUAUUGGGCGUAAAGAGCUCGUAGGUUGUUUGUUACGUCGGAUGUGAAAACCUGAGGCUCAACCUCAGGCCUGCAUUCGAUACGGGCAAACUAGAGUUUGGUAGGGGAGACUGGAAUUCCUGGUGUAGCGGUGGAAUGCGCAGAUAUCAGGAGGAACACCAAUGGCGAAGGCAGGUCUCUGGGCCAAUACUGACACUGAGGAGCGAAAGUCUGGGGAGCGAACAGGAUUAGAUACCCUGGUAGUCCAGACCGUAAACGGUGGGCACUAGUUGUGGGGACCUUCCACGGUUUCUGCGACGCAGCUAACGCAUUAAGUGCCCCGACUGGGGAGUACGAUCGCAAGAUUAAAACUCAAAGGAAUUGACGGGGCCCCGCACAAGCAGCGGAGCAUGCGGCUUAAUUCGACGCAACGCGAAGAACUU
rnacentral:rRNA from 1 species